GAUGAACGCUGGCGGCGUGCCUAAUACAUGCAAGUCGAGCGAACAGACGAGGAGCUUGCUCCUCUGACGUUAGCGGCGGACGGGUGAGUAACACGUGGAUAACCUACCUAUAAGACUGGGAUAACUUCGGGAAACCGGAGCUAAUACCGGAUAAUAUAUUGAACCGCAUGGUUCAAUAGUGAAAGACGGUUUUGCUGUCACUUAUAGAUGGAUCCGCGCCGCAUUAGCUAGUUGGUAAGGUAACGGCUUACCAAGGCAACGAUGCGUAACCGACCUGAAAGGGUGAUCGGCCACACUGGAACUGAGACACGGUCCAGACCCCUCCGGGAGGCAGCAGUAGGGAAUCUUCCGCAAUGGGCGAAAGCUUGACGGAGCAACGUCGCGUGAGUGAUGAAGGUCUUCGGAUCGUAAAACUCUGUUAUUAGGGAAGAACAAAUGUGUAAGUAACUAUGCACGUCUUGACGGUACCUAAUCAGAAAGCCACGGCUAACUACGUG
rnacentral:rRNA from 1 species